rnacentral:rRNA from 1 species
UACGUAGGGGGCAAGCGUUGUCCGGAAUUAUUGGGCGUAAAGCGCGCGCAGGCGGCCUUGUAAGUCUAGUGUUUAAUCUCGGAGCUCAACUCCGAUUCGCACUGGAAACUGCAAAGCUUGAGUACAGAAGAGGAAAGUGGAAUUCCACGUGUAGCGGUGAAAUGCGUAGAGAUGUGGAGGAACACCAGUGGCGAAGGCGACUUUCUGGGCUGUAACUGACGCUGAGGCGCGAAAGCGUGGGGAGCAAACAGG